UACGUAGGGCGCAAGCGUUAUCCGGAAUUAUUGGGCGUAAAGAGCUCGUAGGCGGUUUGUCACGUCGGCUGUGAAAACCCGAGGCUCAACCUCGGGCCUGCAGUCGAUACGGGCAGACUAGAGUAUGGCAGGGGAGACUGGAAUUCCUGGUGUAGCGGUGAAAUGCGCAGAUAUCAGGAGGAACACCGGUGGCGAAGGCGGGUCUCUGGGCCAUAACUGACGCUGGAGGAGCGAAAGCGUGGGGAGCGAACAGG
rnacentral:rRNA from 1 species